UCCGCUCCAAAUCCUCCCCUUGGAGAUCAUCCUGUCCCUCAAGAGGAAUCAUCAAAGAUGGCAGCACCGCCACCCGCUGUCAUUACCACAAGAGCUUUUGAAGAGCUACGCCAACAAGUUACCACAUUGACUCAGUUAUUAAGCCAAAGAAACUCACACCCAUCACAUACACCAACACCGGAUGGCGAUCUUAUGGCAGCUGCUCAAGCUCGAGCUCCACAAAACAUCCCUGAUAAUGGUGUUGGAACCUCGGGUAUAGCUCCUAUGACCGCAGCAUCAAGGGCAGUAACGAUAGAGUCAGGGGAGCUUGCCAGAAUCAUCCAAGAAGGUAUUGCCGCGGGCCUAGCACAGAAAUCAAAGGGGACAACAGGCUUUACCCCUAGCACUUCCUUUACUCCUGAAGUACUGUCCUACCCCCUUUCGGAUAGGUUCAAGCAUCCCAGGAUAAAGGAAUAUGAUGGGACCACUGACCCUAUCAACCACCUCAAUGUAUAUACCGAUAUCAUGAACCUACAGGUCGCACCUGACGCUGUAAUGUGCAAAGCCUUCCCUUAAACUCUUACAAGCGCAGCUAGAGAUUGGUUCUCCACAUUAGGGCCAAACUCUAUCGCCUCAUUCGCAGACUUGGCUGAUAAAUUCUCCACUUUCUUCGCAAGCAGCAAGAGAAUUAGGAAAACGACGGCAUCACUUAUGAAAAUGCGCCAGGGACCUAAUGAAACAUUACGCAAUUUCAUGACCAGAUUCAAUAAAGAAAGACUUCAGAUUCCGGAUUUACAUAUUACAGCUGCGGUCUCAGCUUUGACAUACGCUAUAAGAUGCGAAGCAUUCAAGAUGUCUUUGUCAAACCCCCCCCCCCCAAAGUCAGUAACUGACCUCCUAACUCGAGCUGAGAAAUACGUCAAUAUGGAAGAAACUUUGACCCCAAGAAAUGACGUUUCACCUUUACUAAGGCCAGACAAUAAGAGACCAUGUGAACCCAAUCAACGAGACGACAAUCCUCGGGUCAAGCCAAGACAAAACCCCCGACCGAAAACCUUUACUCCCUUGAAUACAUCAAAGUCCAACAUCCUGAUGGAGAUCAAGGACCUCAAAGAGCUUAAGUGGCCUCCCAAAAUGUGAUCACUACCUGAAAACAGAGACAGAACCAAGUACUGUGACUUCCACCGGGACCACGAACAUACCACUGAGGGUUGUUUGGCUCUGAAGCAACAAAUUGAGGCCCUCAUCAGGACGGGUUUUUUGGGCUCUUACACUAGCCAUGAAAAACGCCCGAGGAACAAGCAGAAUAACAUACAGGAAGGGCAUGGUAGUGAACCACCAACGGCAAGCACUAUUAAUGUUAUUAUCGGAGGAACAGCUUCAGGAGGAGACACCAACAGUGGACGUAAGAAGUAUGCUAAACAGCUUCCAGUCGCUUCCAACAUGGAUCUUGCUCCUACGGAAGAUAUCACCUUCGGGUCCAAGGAUUUGGAAGGAAUAUCCUUCCCCCAUGAUGACGCCCUAGUCAUAUCAGCUAUCAUAGCUAACUUCGAGGUCAAGAGAAUUCUUAUGGAUAACGGAAGUGUAGCUAAUGUACCGUCUCAUGAAGCUUUAGUUCAGAUGGAUAUCUCAGUGGAACAACUCAAGCCUGUUAAAACACCCCUCCAAGGAUUUGGUGGCGGGGUCAUCACCCCUGAAGGUAUUGUUGGAUUACCCAUGACUUUGGGAUCUGAAGGUCGGCAGGUAACCCAUAUCGUAACUUUCGAAGUUGUUUGAACUCUGAUGGCUUACAACGGCAUUCUGGAAAGACCAUUGCUAAAUAAAAUCAGAGCUGUUAUCUCAAAUUUUCACCUGGCGAUGAAGUUCCCCACAUAUAGUGGAGUUGGAGUCGUCCGAGGAAGCCAAACCAUGGCACGCCAGUGCUAUGUGACUAGUGUCCGAAAAAUAAAGGUCGACGUCAUGCAGCUUUCAGAGCUCGAGCUCGAGCUCGAGCUUGAAAAUCGUGGGAGACUCGCCCCGGUAGAAGAGCUAGUCGAGGUCGAGCUCGAGCUCGAGCCUGGUAGGAAGGUGAUAGUAGGGUGUGACCUUGAUUCAACCAUCAUGGCUAAACUCAUAAGUUGUCUCUCCCAAAACCAAGACGUAUUCGCCUGGACAGUUGAAGACAUGCCGGGAAUUGACCCCGAGGUUGCAGUACACAGGCUCAAUGUAAACCCAGGAGCCAAACCUAUCAAACAAAGGAAAAGACAGUUUGCACCCGAAUGGCGCGAAGUCUUACGAGAAGAGAUUGCCAAGCUCCUCAAUGCACAGUUCAUCCGAGAAGUGCAAUAUCCUUACUGGCUCGCCAAUGUAGUUCUCGUGAAAAAGGCCAAUGGAAAGUGGCGAGUUUGCAUUGACUUCACUGAUUUGAACAAAGCAUGUCCGAAAAAUAGCUAUCCCCUCCCCCUGAUUGACAGUCUCGUUGACAGCACUUCGGGUCACAAAUUGUACAGCUUUUUGGACGCAUUCUCAGGGUACCACCAAAUACCAAUGACCACAGAAGAUCAAGAAAAGACCUCAUUCAUGGCAGAUUCCGCCAUCUAUUGUUAUAAGGCCAUGCCAUUCGGCUUAAAGAACGCAGGGGCUACAUAUCAGACGCUAAUCAACAAGAUCUUUGCUGAUUUAAUUGGAAAAACCAUUGAGGCUUACGUAGAUGACAUGGUGGUCAAAAGUAAAUAGGUGGAUGAUCAUAUCGCCGAUCUUGAAGAAGUGUUUUCCACGCUACGGAAAUACAACAUGAAGCUCAACCCAACAAAAUGUGCCUUUGGGGUAGCAUCAGGAAAGUUUCUAGGUUUCAUGAUCACAAAUAGAGGAAUAGAAGCCCUGACAAGAUCCAAGCCCUAAUAUCUAUGGAAGCCCAAAGAGCAAAAAGGACAUCCAAAAGCUUACAGGUCGGGUAGCAGCGUUGAACAGAUUUGUCUCUCGGGCAGCGGAUAGAUGUUUCCCCUUUUUCAAAGUUCUGAGAGGCCACAAGGGUUUUGAAUGGAAUGAUGAAUGCGAUCUAGCCUUCCAACAACUUAAGCAAACUUUAGCUGUACCUCCGGUUCUUGCCAAACCAGAGCCUGGUGAUACUUUGUUCCUUAACUUUGCUGUUUUUCGAAAUGCCGCAAGUGGGGUACUAGUAAAGGAAAAAAGGAAAGGUGCAACAACCCAUCUACUAUGUCAGUAAAGUACUUCUUGAAACCGAGACUCGGUAUAACCUUGCGGAACAGUUAGCUCUUGCCUUGAUAGUAACUGCUAGAAAGUUGCGGCAAUAUUUCCAAUCUCACCCCAUAAUAAUUCUCACCAAUCAACCACUCAAGCACAUACUUCAGGGGCCAGAUGUCUCAGGAAGGCUAUUAAAAUGGGCGAUCGAGCUUGGCGAGUUCGACAUAGAAUUCAAGCCUCGACCUUCUAUCAAAGCACAGGCACUGGCCGACUUCAUAGCUGAACUCACUCCAAAGGCGGAAAGGCCCAAAGUAAAAAACCCGAGCACGACCUCAAAAACCUGGGAGAUAUUUGUUGAUGGGGCGUCGAACAGCUCGGGCUCGAGGGCCGGGAUAAUUAUCAUCAGCCCGGACAAGACCACUAAAGUUCAAUGUGCACUUAGGUUUGAGUUUGAAGCAACCAACAACGAAGCGGAAUAUGAAGCUGUGGUCAUUGCUCUCGAACUUGCCAGGAAUUUGGAAUUAGAGCACAUCAGAGUCUUCAGCGACUCACAGCUCGUUGUUGAACAGAUCGAAGUAUCCUUUGAAAGAAAAGAUGAAAAGAUGAGCUUGUACUGUCUAAAAGUGCAUGACAUUCAAAGACAGUUCACAAGUUGUGAAAUAUUGAAAAUAGCAAGAGCGGAUAACUCCAAAGCUGACGCACUAUCCAGACUUGUUUUCAUGAGGAUAGAUGGACUCAACAGAACAGUGCACAUCAAGAUUGUCACAGAGCCUAGCAUAAACACGAAGUCGAGCGUCAUGGACAUUGACCAUGAGCCUUCCUGGAUUGAUCCAAUAGUUGAGUAUAUAAGUAAUGGAGACCUACCUCCUGACCCUCGCACCGCAAGAAGUAUUCGGGCCAAAGCUGCUAGGUAUUGCAUUAUCAGAGGGGUGCUGUUUCAACGAAGUCUCACACUCCCCUAUCUGAGAUGCCUCAAGCCUUCCGAGUCUCUCCAAGCCCUGACUGAGGUUCACGAGGGAAUAUGCAGAAAUCACCAGGGAGCCAGGGCCCUUGCCUACAAAUUAAUAAGGUAUGGGUACUGCUGGCCAACUAUAAAAAAAGAUGCAGCUGAAUAUGUCAAAAGAUGCGACAAGUGUCAGAGGUUUAGUAAUGCUAUACAUGCCCCUGCAGAAGAGUUGACUUCUAUCCAUUAUUCAGCACCAUUUGAACAAUGGGGAGUUGACAUCCUUGGGCCUUUCCCCAUGGCCCGAGGACAGUUAAAAUUUGUUGUGGUAGCAGUUGAGUACCUCACGAAGUGGAUAGAAGCCGAACCCCUAGCAAAAAUAUCAGAGGCCAAGCUCAGAUCAUUUAUAUGGAAGUCGAUUAUAUGUAGGUUUGGAAUACCCAAAGUACUUAUAACAGACAAUGAAAGGUAGUUCAACAAUUCACAAUUCAGAAACUUCUGUGUCAAUCUCGGAAUCGACCAUCGUCUGACGUCAGUAUCGCACCCUCAAAGCAAUGGCCUCGCUGAGGUGACAAAUAGGAUCAUACUUCAGGACCUUCACACCAGGAUCGGAAACGCAAGAGGUGACUGGCCCGAUGAGUUGCCCUCUAUACUGUGGGCAUAUAGAACUUCUCAUAAAACAGCAACAGGCGAGACUCCUUUCAUGUUGGCUUUCGGCUUAGAGGCUACUAUCCCCAUCGAAGUCAGCCUCCCCACUUUAAGGAGAGUUGAACCCGACAUGGAAGACCGAACAACCGAACAUCUUGACUUACUUGAAGAAGUAAGAGAGCAAGUUUCACUGGGAGCUGCUAGUUACCAAAAUAAAACGGCAAAGUACUUUAACACCAAAGUCAAGUCCCGAGAAUUUGAGAGUGGCGAUUUGGUUCUAAGAAGAGCAGAGGCAGCUGGACACCCUCCAGGUAAGCUUGAACCGGUAUGGGAAGGGCCAUUCGAAGUCAUACGAAAGAUCAAAGGAGGAGUAUACAGUCUUAGAGAUACUUCAGGAAAUCCACUCCCGAGACCUUGGAAUGUGGAUAACCUAAAAAUAUAUUACAAGUAGAAUAGCAAUGCGUCACACAAGAGCUUGCACGCCCGCCUUAUUUUCAUUUUUUAGUAGCUCGGGUCUAUGAACCCUUGAGCAUUUUUUGUUUUCAAGUAGCUCGGGCUAAGUACCCUUGAGCACCUAAUAAUAUUCAAAGUUUUCUUUUAUUAGCACUACUUAAACUUUGGCGUAACGACGUGCUUCAGGCAUGUAGCCAACUCUUCAACAUUAGUGUAACGACGUGCUACGGGCAUGCAACUAAUAAACUUUGGCGUAACAACGUGCUUCGGGCAUGCAGCCAACUCUUCGACAUUAGUGUAACGACGUGUUACAGGCAUGCAACUAAUAAACUUCGGCAUAAUGACGUGCUUCGGGCAUACAGCCACUAUAACAUUAGCAUAAUGACGUGCUAUGGGCAUGUAACUAAUAACUCUGGCAUAAUGACGUGCUUCGAGCAUGUAGUCAACUCUUCAACAUUAACGACCUUCUAUAGGCAUGCAGCUUAAUACAACCCGAGGUCAUGAACCCCGAACUAUUUUGCAUUUAAAAUCAAUAACGGAUAAGUUCGGGGUCGGGCCUGUUCACAUGAUAAAGAUCGAACCCGACACCGUCUGCAACCUAGAAACAAACUC
rnacentral:lncRNA from 1 species